GAUGAACGCUGGCGGCGUGCCUAAUACAUGCGAGUCGAGCGAACGGACGAGAAGCUUGCUUCUCUGAUGUUAGCGGCGGACGGGUGAGUAACACGUGGAUAACCUACCUAUAAGACUGGGAUAACUUCGGGAAACCGGAGCUAAUACCGGAUAAUAUUUUGAACCGCAUGGUUCAAAAGUGAAAGACGGUCUUGCUGUCACUUAUAGAUGGAUCCGCGCUGCAUUAGCUAGUUGGUAAGGUAACGGCUUACCAAGGCAACGAUGCAUAGCCGACCUGAGAGGGUGAUCGGCCACACUGGGACUGAGACACGGUCCAGACUCCUACGGGAGGCAGCAGUAGGGAAUCUUCCGCAAUGGGCGAAAGCCUGACGGAGCAACGCCGCGUGAGUGAUGAAGGUCUUCGGAUCGUAAAACUCUGUUAUUAGGGAAGAACAUAUGUGUAAGUAACUGUGCACAUCUUGACGGUACCUAAUCAGAAAGCCACGGCUAACUACGUG
rnacentral:rRNA from 1 species